UGGGGAAUUUUGGACAAUGGGCGAAAGCCUGAUCCAGCAAUGCCGCGUGUGUGAAGAAGGCCUUCGGGUUGUAAAGCACUUUUGUCCGGAAAGAAAUCCUUGGCUCUAAUACAGUCGGGGGAUGACGGUACCGGAAGAAUAAGCACCGGCUAACUACGUGCCAGCAGCCGCGGUAAUACGUAGGGUGCAAGCGUUAAUCGGAAUUACUGGGCGUAAAGCGUGCGCAGGCGGUUUGCUAAGACCGAUGUGAAAUCCCCGGGCUCAACCUGGGAACUGCAUUGGUGACUGGCAGGCUAGAGUAUGGCAGAGGGGGGUAGAAUUCCACGUGUAGCAGUGAAAUGCGUAGAGAUGUGGAGGAAUACCGAUGGCGAAGGCAGCCCCCUGGGCCAAUACUGACGCUCAUGCACGAAAGCGUGGGGAGCAAAACAGGAUUAGAUACCCUGGUAGUCCACGCCCUAAAACGAUGUCAACUAGUUGUUGGGGAUUCAUUUCCUUAGUAACGUAGCUAACGCGUGAAGUUGACCGCCUGGGGGAGUACGGUCGC
rnacentral:rRNA from 1 species